CCUACGGGCGGCAGCAGUGAGGAAUAUUGGUCAAUGGGCGCGAGCCUGAACCAGCCAAGUAGCGUGAAGGAUGAAGGUCCUACGGGUUGUAAACUUCUUUUAUAAGGGAAUAAAGUGAGGCACGUGUGCCUUUAUGUGUGUACUUUAUGAAUAAGCAUCGGCUAACUCCGUGCCAGCAGCCGCGGUAAUACGGAGGAUGCGAGCGUUAUCCGGAUUUAUUGGGUUUAAAGGGAGCGUAGAUGGGUUGUUAAGUCAGUUGUGAAAGUUUGCGGCUCAACCGUAAAAUUGCAAUUGAUACUGGCAGUCUUGAGUAGAGGAGAGGUAGGCGGAAUGCGUGGUGUAGCGGUGAAAUGCUUAGAUAUCACGAAGAACUCCGAUUGCGAAGGCAGCUUACUAAACUGCCACUGACAUUGAUGCUCGAAAGUGUGGGUAUCAAACAGGAUUAGAUACCCUUGUAGUC
rnacentral:rRNA from 1 species